rnacentral:lncRNA from 1 species
GGAUCAAGUUCUCCUAACCCGAAGCUUGCUCCUAGGAUUCUUCAGUAAUUCGACUUCUAAAUUCUAGUAAGUUCUUGUUUUAUUGUUCUUAUGGUUUAUGAGUUUACUUUAAUCUCUUCGCGUAGAGUUUAGAGUAAUCAUUGCUGGCGUAAACGUGGUGUUUAGGCUGGGGUACUCAUAGAUAUUCCCUGACUAGCUGGACCGUGGUAGUAGUGAGGAACGUGACAAUUCCGAGCUACCUUUGUAGAUCACAUCUCGUUAGCAGGAAGGAUAGGGUUUAUAGGUGCGGGUUGAACAUCCUUUGUGGUGUCUAGAUUCCGUUAGCCUCCCCAUUAGAACAGUAGAUCAUCCUUACCAAGGUUAGAAGGAGACUACGGUUGCAGUCUUCUCUAUUUAUCACUCACAUCGAAAGACAUUCUUUGUGCCUAAAGGUUAGUAGUAAUAGACCGGUUAGUUAGAUGCACUCUUUCUCCUAGUGGUAAAAAAAUAAAUACGAUACUCUGGAUAAUUUUCCGGGUGAAGUGCUCACCGAUAUCCGUGCGCUUGCGGAUCAAUUCCUUAUUGCGUUCCCAAAUAUCAACAAGCAUUUCUGGCGCCGUUGCCGGGGAGAAAGACGGUUGCUGAGAUAACCUGAGUCUUGCUAUUAGCUUGUAUCUAUACUUUUAUCUUUUUUAUCUUUUAUAUAUCCUUUAUUUAUUUUUCUUUAUUCUUACCUUAUGGAAAACCAAAAUUCUAAAUCGAUCCAUGAGUCUGCAAUCCCUUUAGCAAUUGACCUUUUACCAUGGGAAUCAUCACAGCCUAUCCAAACAUCCCAGUAUAAGUUAAGUUCUAGGUUGAUUGCCAUGAUUCAAAACCUAUCUUUUUCAGGAAAGGAAGACGAAAACCCUUACCUUCGUAUUAGAGAUUUUGAGCAAACAUGUGAUUGUCUUCGCAUUGAAGGCAUUUCUGAUAAAACUUUACGUUGGAAGCUUUUUCCUUUUUCUCUAAGGGGAGAAGCUAGACAAUGGUACAGUCAGAAGGUAAGUCAACAACAAGGUGAAUGGGGAGUUUUACGAGCCAACUUUUGUCUAGAUUUCUAUUCCCUUGACCGUAUAGCCGACCUUAGACUCGAAGUCCUAUCUUUUAAACAAAAAGAUAAUGAAACUUUGGGAAAAUCCUGGAAACAUUUUUCUGAUCUUUUAGAAUCUGGUCCAAACCUUAAUCUUGAAGACCCUGUUCUUUUAUUUCACUUUUUUCGAGGUCUUCAGAAAAAUCACAAACAAAUGCUUCACACAAUGUCUAGAGGUUCUUUCUUUCGCAUCCCUACUGAUGAAGCUAGAGUGAUCCUAGAUAGAAUCCUAGAAGCUGAGAUGGAUAAUACCCUUCAUGAUGAAACCUACGAAGCCGAAGUAGACACUCUGCCAAAUUCUUCAUCUACUUUAGCUAUCCCAAGUUCUGAGCCACAAGAGGAAGAAAUUCCACUACCGGACUUCAUGCUGGAUAUAGAAUCCGAUCUUUUUGCCGAUUUUGGAAAUAUUUCAAACUACCAUUCUAUUGACAAACCCCAAAACGGCCAGUUUAGCAAUUAUUUGCCGAGUGAAUAUCAAUUGAGAGAGCUUAUCUCAGUAAUGAGUAGCGAAUGGUUGGAGGAAUCAGAGCUUUCCUCUGAUGUGAUCCGUUUGGACACACCCUCUAUAACUAUACGCUGUGCUUAUAAUUCUGAUCGAUUUAAUGCUCUCUAUAAUCCUGUUGUCGGUAUCAACAUCAUGUCUGAAUAUUUUGCACUUAAACUAUUUAAAAAUCUUGUCUUAACCCCCAGAACAAAGGUCAUAAAGGAAUCUUCGGGACGAUUGGUCCCCAGUCUUGGAAUUAUUAAUAUCCUACCUCUUACGGUAGAAGGCUCCAUGGUUCAUUUGAACUUCUAUAUCUUUGAUACAUGGGACUUUGACCUGUUAAUAGGACAACCUUUUAGAAGACUCCUUUAUGAAGGUCAUACUGGAAAGCUACACAUUUCUUUUGGAAAAACUUUUAAAUUCCCAAUAAUAAUUUCACACUCCUUAAACAAUAAGGUCGAGUCAUAUCUUUUGCCUAAUCCUAUGGAGGAGGUAAAGGCUGCAUCUCUAGAGCUUUUAGAUGAACCAGACAUAGAAGACGAAACUCCUUUCUUCACUGAAGAAGAAGACGAACCUUCUGAGCCUGAACCCUUAGAUGAGUUUGCGGAAACACCUAGACCUCCCAUAGAGCUUAAAACUUUACCACCCGGUCUUACCUAUGCUUUCAUAAACAAUAAUCCAGAGUUCCCUGUGAUCAUUAGCGAUAACCUCACUCAGGAUCAAACUCUGUGAUUAAUGACCAUUCUUGAGAAACAUCACUCAGUUUUCGGCUACUCAUUUCAAGAUCUUACAGGAAUCAGUCCUAUGAUUUGUACACAUCGUAUUCCAACAGAUCCUUCUGUUACACCCUCUCGAGAACCCCAACGUAGACUUAACAACACUAUGAGAGAGGUAGUUAAAAAGGAUGUUAUAAAGUUGCUGCAUGCAGGGAUUAUAUAUCCUGUGCCACACAGUGAGUGGGUGAGCCCAGUGCAAGUUGUGCCUAAAAAGGGAGGCAUGACUAUUAUUAUGAAUGAAAAGAACAAACUAAUUCCGCAACGCACCGUCACAGGAUGGCGGAUGUGCAUAGACUAUAGAAAACUAAACAAAGCCAUGAGAAAGGAUCACUUUCCUUUACCUUUUAUAGAUGAGAUGCUAGAGCGGUUAGCAAACCAUUCGUUCUUCUGUUUUUUAGAUGGAUAUUCAGGAUAUCACCAAAUCCUGAUCCAUCCCGAUGAUCAAAGCAAAACCACUUUUACAUGCCCUUAUGGAACUUAUGCUUAUCGUAGAAUGUCUUUUUGGUUAUGUAAUGCACCAGCUUCUUUUCAAAGAUGCAUGAUGUCUAUAUUUUCUGAUAUGAUUGAAGAGAUUAUGGAAGUUUUCAUGGAUGAUUUCUCUGUUUAUGGAAAAACUUUUGAUAGUUGUCUUGAAAACUUAGACAAGGUUUUGCAAAGAUGUGAAGAAAAGCACUUAAUCCUUAAUUGGGAAAAAUGUCAUUUUAUUGUUCUUAUGGUUUAUGAGUUUACUUUAAUCUCUUCGCGUAGAGUUCAGAGUAAUCAUUGCUGGCGUAAACGUGGUGUUUAGGCUGGGGUACUCAUAGAUAUUCCCUGACUAGCUGGACCGUGGUAGUAGUGAGGAACGUGACAAUUCCGAGCUACCUUUGUAGAUCACAUCUCGUUAGCAGGAAGGAUAGGGUUUAUAGGUGCGGGUUGAACAUCCUUUGUGGUGUCUAGAUUCCGUUAGCCUUCCCAUUAGAACAGUAGAUCAUCCUUACCAAGGUUAGAAGGAGACUACGGUUGCAGUCUUCUCUAUUUAUCACUCACAUCGAAAGACAUUCUUUAUGCCUAAAGGUUAGUAGUAAUAGACCGGUUAGUCAGAUGCACUCUUUCUCCUAGUGGUAAAAAAAUAAAUACGAUACUCUGGAUAA